UUGACCUCGGAUCAGGUAGGGAUACCCGCUGAACUUAAGCAUAUCAAUAAGCGGAGGAAAAGAAACCAACUGGGAUUGCCUUAGUAACGGCGAGUGAAGCGGCAAUAGCUCAAAUUUGAAAGCUGGCACCUUCGGUGUCCGCGUUGUAAUUUGUAGAGGAUGCUUCGGCGAGGACUCCUGCCUAAGUUCCCUGGAAUGGGACGUCACAGAGGGUGAGAAUCCCGUAUGUGGCGGGCGGUCUGAGCCAUGUGAAGCUCCUUCGACGAGUCGAGUUGUUUGGGAAUGCAGCUCUAAAUGGGAGGUAAAUUUCUUCUAAAGCUAAAUACCGGCCAGAGACCGAUAGCGCACAAGUAGAGUGAUCGAAAGAUGAAAAGCACUUUGGAAAGAGAGUUAAAAAGUACGUGAAAUUGUUGAAAGGGAAGCGCUUGCAACCAGACUCGCCCGCAGUUGCUCAGCCCGCCUCUUGGUGGGUGUACUCUUCUGCGGUCGGGCCAGCAUCAGUUCGGGCGGCUGGAUAAAGGUGUCGGGAAUGUAGCACCCUUCGGGGUGUGUUAUAGCCCGGCGCGGAAUGCAGCCAGCCUGGACUGAGGAUCUCGCUUCGGCAAGGAUGCUGGCGUAAUGGUUGUAAGCGGCCCGUCU
rnacentral:rRNA from 1 species